AGACGUGGCUGCAGCGUUCUGCAGACGUGACUUCUGAUCAAAUUCGAACCUCCUAAAGAAACAAAGAGCGACAUUACAUUGCGGGAUGACGUCACCUGAAAAUGACCAAUAGCGCGGCGCGCUGCUGAGCUGUGUGCCAACCGCUCUUUUUUUCAUGCAGGAGACUCAAGUUGGCUUCGCUAACGGACACAGUUUUGAACUCGUAUAUUAGCGCCAUUUAUUGCUGCUUGGACCACAGCAUCUUCGGAAUUUGUAGACAUCCUGGCAGCUUACAAUUAGUUCGAGGUAGUUCAGUCAUCAAGGGGCUACGUGCUUCAUUGUAAACUGCAUCGGAAUGAGCCACGUUGUUUCUUUCGGUGUAUUGAAGCAGGCUGCUAGCAGACAUACACCAGGUAUGGCGCGUUUAAGGCUCAUUUUUACCGAAGACACUCUGCCCCCACCCAUGUCACUGGUGUGGCGGUGGUUUCUUCGUUUACAUGUGCAAUGUGUGAACGUCAGUGUCAGAACUCUCUCUUUAUGAUUAAAAAGGUUUGUUUUGUUCCUGCCCUUUUCAGACACUGAAUUUGAGCAGAAACCAUAAGGAUACUCAAAGGACCUGUGACUCUCAGGAAAUGCAUCAAAUGAGAGGGACAGAUGAAACAGUUUCAAGACAAUGGCAGGAAAAACAUGCUGAAGAUUGAAACAAACCUUGGCUGGAAAUAUUUGAAGGUAUCUAGCCAGUCCACAAUGAAAGCUUCGUUGCACCCCAUGAGUCUUCUGGCAGAAAUGAUGGCGCCUGUAUUCUUUGGUUUCCCUAAACAUCACACCCUGCCUGUUUAUACGAGGCUCUUCAAUUAAGUCUGCACCCAAAGAUUCAAUAAGAGAGGGGAUCCUGCCAGUCCAAAGUGAACUCCUGAUGGACAUUGAAGUACUCCUGCAGAGCUUGUAUCUUCGACACCAUGCGCAUUAGAAACUCCACUGAGUCCUUUCCUUCACCAAGGCAGGACCCAGUGACUCAUUACUGUUGAUAGGUCAGGGGCAGGUAAUAUUUUGUUUCAUGUUUAUUCAUUACUCCAUGGAUUACCAGCCAUAUAUAUGGACACAUGCUGUAUUCUCAAGAUCUAUGCUGUUUUGUAGGAAUAGUGAAAAUGAUAUGUUUAGUCUGUUUUCAAAUGGUAUGUCAAAUUUUCUCAUUGUUUAUCAGUAAUAUUCACUACCUUGGUUAUAUAUGAGCAUCUUUAGAUUUUUCUAUAUUUAGCGGUUGCAAAUGUAAAAUGUACGGUAAACCAUUUAUGUUCCUCAUAUUGUACUGUAUUUUUAGCGGUAAAAUACCGGCAGCUGUGGUUGCCAGGAAUUUACCGUAAAAUGUAUCUGGUCAAAAUAAAAUGCUGUAAUUUGUUA